UUGAACGCUGGCGGCAUGCUUUACACAUGCAAGUCGAACGGUAACAGGCCUUCGGGUGCUGACGAGUGGCGAACGGGUGAGUAAUGCAUCGGAACGUACCCAGAGGUGGGGGAUAACGCAGCGAAAGCUGUGCUAAUACCGCAUGUGAUCUGAGGAUGAAAGCGGGGGACCGAGCAGCAAUGUUUGGCCUCGCGCCUUUGGAGCGGCCGAUGUCGGAUUAGCUAGUUGGUGGGGUAAAGGCCUACCAAGGCGACGAUCCGUAGCUGGUCUGAGAGGACGACCAGCCACACUGGGACUGAGACACGGCCCAGACUCCUACGGGAGGCAGCAGUGGGGAAUUUUGGACAAAGGGCGCAAGCCUGAUCCAGCAAUGCCGCGUGCGGGAAGAAGGCCUUCGGGUUGUAAACCGCUUUUGGCAGGAACGAAACGGUGUCCGCUAAUACCGGGCGCUAAUGACGGUACCUGCAGAAUAAGCACCGGCUAACUACGUG
rnacentral:rRNA from 1 species